AAGGUUUGGUUGCCAUUGCGGCAAUCGUGAAAAGGGAACCGGGUGAGAAUCCCGGGCAGUCGCGCUGCUGUAAUUCUCCUGAAUCCUGACGACAAUGCCACUGAAAUGCUUUGUGAACUUUCGGGAAGGCCGUCAGGAUGGGGAUAAGCCAGAAGACCUGCCUGUACCG
rnacentral:ncRNA from 1 species